GGAAUUCUAUCACGACUUUCGUUACGUCCUGUCCUCCCGUCCUAUACUUUGAUGUCGCUUGUGCGUCUCAGGGCUCUAGAGAUUGUUUUGCAUUAGAAGUUUGUCGUCCCGUUUUUUAUUCGUAUCCACUUCCCGUUUUCUCUCUCUCUCUCUCCCUGUCUCUCUUUCUCUCUCUCUCUCUUUAUCUCUCUCCCCGCCUUCAUUGAACUAGAAUGAACUAUUAAGUCACUAGUUUGAAUAGGUCAGUUAUGCCCAAACUACG